rnacentral:misc_RNA from 1 species
AAGUCGUAACAAGGUUUCCGUAGGUGAACCUGCGGAAGGAUCAUUAACACAAGUAAAAAAACAUUUUACAACACCCUAUUAUGAAUUUAAAUUUUUUAAUUUUAAUUUUUUUAUAAAACUACAAAAAAAAAUAUUUAAUUUAUUUGACUAACAUUUUUUUAAUUAAUUUAUUUAAAAUUUUAUAAAACAACUCUUAACAACGGAUAUCUUGGCUCUC